GGACUACAAGGGUAUCUAAUCCUAUUCGCUACCCAAGCCUUCGUCCCUCAACGUCAGUUAUUAGAUAAAAGGUCGCCUUCGCCGUUACCAGUCUCUAUGGUAUUAAAAAAUUUCAACUCUACUCCAUAAAUUCUCCCCUCCUCAUAUAUAACUCUAGUAAUAAUCGUAUCCUGUUAUGGACUAAAUAUACCGUCUAGGUACCCUUUAAACCUAUUAAAGAUGAAUAACACUAGUCUUCUACGUAUUACCGCGGCUGCUGGCAC
rnacentral:rRNA from 1 species